rnacentral:rRNA from 1 species
ACUCAAAUGAAUAGACGGGGGCCCGCACAAGCGGUGGAGCAUGUGGAUUAAUUCGUCACUAACCGAAGAACCUUACCCAGGUUUGACAUCCUCUGCACCGGCGUGAAAGCGUCGUUCUCUUCGGAGACAGAGAGACAGGUGUUGCAUGGCUGUCGUCAGCUCGUGUCGUGAGAUGUUGGGUUAAGUCCCGCAACGAGCGCAACCCUCACCGUAUGUUGCCAGCGUAGAGUCGGGAACUCUUACGGAACUGCCCGUGCAAACGGGAGGAAGGCGGGGAUGACGUCAAGUCGGCAUGGCCCUUACGCCUGGGGCUUCACACAUGCUACAAUGGUGCCAACAAAGGGGAGCGACCCCGCGAGGGUGAGCGAAUCUCAAAAAAGGCAUCUCAGUUCGGAUUGCAGGCUGCAACUCGCCUGCAUGAAGCUGGAAUCGCUAGUAACCGCAGGUCAGCGAAACUGCGGUGAAUACGUUCCCGGGCCUUGUACACACCGCCCGU